rnacentral:lncRNA from 1 species
GAGCAUCAUGCUACGGUGGGUGGAGUCAUUUGGUGGCUUUUGAGUGAAAUCCAAUCUCUACAACUAUGCAAUACACCAACCACACCAACCACUCGAUUUCAUAACGAACUUCGUACGAACCCGAAUUGUCCAAUUUCAUGGACCAAUCGAUAUCGGAUUGAGUCCAAAACUUGGGGAUCGUCAUAAUACGGUGGGAGGAGACAUUUGGCGGCUUUUGAGUGAAAUCCAAUCUCUACAACUAUGCAAUACACCAACCACUCCAUUUCAGAACGAACUCCGAACGAACCUGAAUUGUCCAAUUUCAUGGACCAAUCAACUCGAAUUGAGUCCAAAACUUGGGGAACAUCAUAAUAUGAUGGGAGGAGUCAUUUGGUGUCUUUUGACGGAAAUCCAAUGGCAAAAACUAUGCAAUACACCAACCACUCCAU